GACAGAGGGUGCAAACGUUGUUCGGAAUUACUGGGCGUAAAGCGCGUGUAGGCGGCUUGGCAAGUCGGAUGUGAAAGCCCUGGGCUCAACCUAGGAAGUGCAUUCGAAACUGCCGAGCUUGAGUUCUGGAGAGGAAGGCGGAAUUCUCGGUGUAGAGGUGAAAUUCGUAGAUAUCGAGAGGAACACCGGUGGCGAAGGCGGCGAUCUGGACGGUGACUGACGCUGAGACGCGAAAGCGUGGGGAGCAAACAGG
rnacentral:rRNA from 1 species